ACUUCAUGAUGAUAAUUUGAUCACCAUCUUUCGACUGAAUGAUUGUGAUGAUACAUUUCCUUUUACUGAGCACGAUU
rnacentral:snoRNA from 1 species